CCCUAGCCCCGAUUGAAAUGAAAAUCCUUUUUAAAAAGCGCAGCGAAAUAAAAAGAUUGUAAUGAAAAGCGGGAAAAAGC
rnacentral:sRNA from 1 species